GAGAAGAUUGCUGCUGAGCAAAAUACACACACAAAAUACUGGGGAGAAGACUUUGCAACAUGCGCUGGCGAAUUGGCCUCACUCUGCAAGUCAGCGCAGACAGGAAGGCUGAGCCUCCCUGCUCAUGAUGGAAGUCAAGCCCGAGCAUGCCCAGCAGCUGGGGAGACCCAUGUGAUGACAACAGCAUCCAGCUCCAUCUGGUGAUGUGCUCCCAGCCCCCCCGGGCACUUUUCCAUCUAGUCUUGCAAGCAGCUGGAUCAAUUUACUCUAGCCUACGGUGCACUGCACAGGCACAGACUGAAAUUAUUACUCAUGGAAAUCCCCUCUGUCUCAAUGCUUUGAACAAGGAAUCAGAGACACAUGGAGGCUAACGCUGUGACAGAAGCAUGGCUCAUACACCCGGAGAACCUCCAGCUUUCCAUCAACAAAGCCAGAGCGCAGAUGCUCCUGUGUUGCAAAUGAGCAGCACCAAAAUAUAUGCAAGUCAUUUCAGAGGACGAAAAAAGCUGUUGGAAACAGAAAUCAUGAGGACUUGCAGUAUGUAUUUCUCUUCGUGUUGCAUGAUUAACUGCUCUGACUAAGACAACGCUCUUCCUGUGGCUAAGAACACAUCCUCAUCUCAGUUUUUGCUUGAAAUAGCACAUUUGAUGGUGACCCCUCCCCAGAACUGCUGUGCCCAUCCCAGCA